GUGCUAUUGGAUUGAACCAAGUCCCUCAUAUCUUAAUCCAUCUGUUUCACUUUGUCAGCAGUCUUGAUUGGUUUCUCGCUGAUCAUUUCAGGAUGGGAAAUAU
rfam:Eutrema salsugineum unplaced genomic scaffold scaffold_1, whole genome shotgun sequence.